rnacentral:rRNA from 1 species
AGAACGAACGCUGGCGGCAGGCCUAACACAUGCAAGUCGAACGCCCCGCAAGGGGAGUGGCAGACGGGUGAGUAACACGUGGGAACAUACCCUUCGGUUCGGAAUAACUCAGGGAAACUUGAGCUAAUACCGGAUACGUCCUGGCGGAGAAAGAUUCAUCGCCGAAGGAUUGGCCCGCGUCCGAUUAGCUAGUUGGUGAGGUAAUGGCUCACCAAGGCGACGAUCGGUAGCUGGUCUGAGAGGAUGAUCAGCCACAUUGGGACUGAGACACGGCCCAAACUCCUACGGGAGGCAGCAGUGGGGAAUAUUGGACAAUGGGCGCAAGCCUGAUCCAGCCAUGCCGCGUGAGUGAUGACGGCCUUAGGGUUGUAAAGCUCUUUCGUCAGGGACGAUAAUGACGGUACCUGAAGAAGAAGCCCCGGCUAACUUCGUGCCAGCAGCCGC